GAGACUCUGUGCGCGUGCAUAUCAAUAAGCGGAGGAAAAGAAACUAACAAGGAUUCCCCUAGUAACGGCGAGUGAAGCGGGAAGAGCUCAAAUUUGAAAUCUUAAAGGGUUUCCCUUUACGAAUUGUAGUUUAAAGAAGUGUUUUCUGUUGGAGUUUCGGUAAAAGUUCUUUGGAAUAGGACAUCAUAGAGGGUGAGAAUCCCGUAUUUGAUCGUUACUUUCCAGCUGUGUGAUACACUUUCAAAGAGUCGGAUUGUUUGGGAAUGCAGUCCAAAAUGGGUGGUAAAUUUCAUCUAAAGCUAAAUAUUGGCGAGAGACCGAUAGCGAACAAGUACCGUGAGGGAAAGAUGAAAAGAACUUUGAAAAGAGAGUUAAACAGUACGUGAAAUUGUCAAAAGGGAAGCGUUUGACACCAGUGUUGUUUAGUUGAAAAUCAAUUCAAUAGUUUUUGAUUUCUAAGUAGUAUUGACUUCAUCAGCUUGCUGCUUUCUUUCUCAGAAAUUAUUGAAUGCACUUUUCAGUUAACAAGUCAACAUCAAUUUCUUUUGUUGUAAAAGGGUAAGAGGAAGGUGGCUUGCGCUUCGGCUCAAGUGUUUAUAGCCUUUUAUCUCUGCAAUCGGAGAGAUUGAGGUCUGCAGCGUAGAUCCUUCGGGGUUAGAUACAUUGGUGCUAAGCUAUAGCCUUGUAUAGACAACUUGUUGACUAUGCUCAGUCAUGUAGCUUACUCGCUGAUGCUAUUUUACCUACGCUUAGGAUGUUGACAGCAGUAUAGACUGU
rnacentral:rRNA from 1 species